rnacentral:tRNA from 1 species
CCGGAAUAGCUCAGUCGGUAGAGCAGAGGACUGAAAAUCCUCGUGUCACUAGUUCAA